rnacentral:rRNA from 1 species
GAUAAACGCUGGCGGCGUGCCUAAUACAUGCAAGUCGAGCGAACGGACGAGAAGCUUGCUUCUCUGAUGUUAGCGGCGGACGGGUGAGUAACACGUGGAUAACCUACCUAUAAGACUGGGAUAACUUCGGGAAACCGUAGCUAAUACCGGAUAAUAUUUUGAACCGCAUGGUUCAAAAGUGAAAGACGGUCUUGCUGUCACUUAUAGAUGGAUCCGCGCUGCAUUAGCUAGUUGGUAAGGUAACGGCUUACCAAGGCAACGAUGCAUAGCCGACCUGAGAGGGUGAUCGGCCACACUGGAACUGAGACACGGUCCAGACUCCUACGGGAGGCAGCAGUAGGGAAUCUUCCGCAAUGGGCGAAAGCCUGACGGAGCAACGCCGCGUGAGUGAUGAAGGUCUUCGGAUCGUAAAACUCUGUUAUUAGGGAAGAACAUAUGUGUAAGUAACUGUGAACAUCUUGACGGUACCUAAUCAGAAAGCCACGGCUAACUACGUG